CCCUUAGAUGUCCUGGGCCGCACGCGCGCUACACUGAGUGUCUGAGAUACGAGUCUGCCUGGUCCGGCAAGGUCUAGGUAAUCGCUAAAAGACACAUCAUGCUUGGGAUAGAUUAUUGCAAAUAUUAAUCUUGAACGAGGAAUUCCUAGUAAGCGCAAGUCAACAGCUUGCGUUGAUUACGUCCCUGCCCUUUGUACACACCGCCCGUCGCUGCUACUGAUUGGAUGUUUAAGCGAGGUUCUCGAACUGCUAGCGACUUAGCUUCGGUGAGGUCGCAGUGUGGGAAGUGAACCUAGCUUUGGUGUCUAGAGGAAGUAAAAGUCGUAACA
rnacentral:rRNA from 1 species